rnacentral:rRNA from 1 species
UACGUAGGGACCAAGCGUUGUUCGGAUUUAUUGGGCGUAAAGAGCUCGUAGGUGGCUUGUCACGUCGGGUGUGAAAGCUUGGGGCUUAACUCCAGGUCUGCAUUCGAUACGGGCUGGCUAGAGGUAGGUAGGGGAGAACGGAACUCCUGGUGUAGCGGUGAAAUGCGCAGAUAUCAGGAGGAACACCGGUGGCGAAGGCGGUUCUCUGGGCCUUACCUGACGCUGAGGAGCGAAAGCGUGGGGAGCGAACAGG